GCCACUCUGGUCCUCUUUCUAAUACUUUAAAUGAUAUCAUGCUCCCUGCUGCCAAGGAACCCAUAUUUCCUUUCAUUUUGGGCACUUAUCUCAGUUUAUAUUUGUAUGUUAUUGGUGUGAUUAUUUGAUUUAUGUCUGCCUUCACUCCCUAAACUGUAAAUUCCACUAGAGCUAGGACUAUGUUUGGUUUAUCAGCACCUAAUAGAAUAUGUACUUGAUAAAUAUCCACUGAAUGACUCACUGGAUAAAUAAAUGAAUGCAAAACUGCAAUCUCACAUUACAUCCACUAAAGCAAAGUGCAGAUGAAAUUCUAAAUUUUAAAUGUAAAUCAAAAUUAAUCCAUCAUUAAAAAUUAUAGGUUAUUCAGGUAAGUUAAUAGAACUCAGGAUGUGAACAGACUUUUAAAAUAUUUUAGAGUGACUCAUAGAAAAAUGAUGUACUACUUAUAAUUGCAAAGAAAUAAAAACUUAAAUGUCUACCAA
rnacentral:lncRNA from 1 species